rnacentral:hammerhead_ribozyme from 9 species
UCAGCGUCUAGGGCAAGGGAUCGUCUGCAUAAGCCCUACUGAUGAGUCUGCAGACGAUCCUUAGACGAAACGCUCC